CUAAUGGAUUUUUUAAAAUCCAUUAUAAGAUAUAUUUUAAUCCAUU
rfam:Poecilia formosa, whole genome shotgun sequence.